GGUCUACAUGAAGACUGGCACAGCACUGCUGAAAGGUUGCCGACCCCUGCUAUAUGGGGACAUCCGUUGGCAGCCUGCCCAUUACUCCUGGGGUGGCUCCCUCUGCUGGACUGUUGCAGCAUUGCAUCCUGACCCAAUUUUACUCUGAGCAUCUCCAGCUCGAGUAUGGAGCAGCAAUUGCUGUGAGGAUAGGCCCUGAGAACCCAACACUCAUCCCACAGCUGCUGGGCCCAGUAAUUUUGGGGACUGACUCUCCAUCCAGCUCCUUCCCCUCCUCUGCCUGGAUGGAUUGGGGGUGGGGAGCACCUUGAAGGACAGAAAUACAAGUGGUGGCUGGUGCCCUGCUUGCUGUUAAAUAACCAGCUCUGCCUGCCUGCCUCCACUGGGAUACAUGAUGGACAACUGAAGCCAGUGAAGAGCAGGAGGCUUGGACUGCCCGCCAUGCUAGGCUGUUGGCGAGAGAUCUGUCCCAGACCGGUUCUCUUCUAGUAACAGAGGUACCAUCGGGGCUUGAGAGAGCAGCAGAGGCGGUCCUGGACCAAGCUGAUAAUUUACAAAGUAACCCCUACUCCCACUUCUUCGAGCUGGACUUCAUCCUGCUCUUAGUAGUAUAAAGGCGCUACUGUCAGUCAACGCCUAACCCCACCCCUUGACCCCUUAACCCAUGCCAACCUAUCACCAGAUGUCCUGCCCCAUGUGACCCCUCUAAGAGCUCCUCCCACUGCCCUCUACCAAUCAGGAUGGGUUUUGCCCCCAUAGGACUACCCUGAGAGGAGAUGUAACCAAUCGGGGGAGUUCAGGGCAGGGUGAUCCAUCUGGAAGUGGUUCUUGUGACCCCUCUAAGAACUCCUCCCACCACCCUCUACCAAUCAGGUCGGGUUUCAGCUGUUGGGGACCACCCCUGAGAGGAGAUUUGACCAAUGAGGAGGAAGUCCGGGGUGGGGUGAUCCAUCCGGAAGUGGUUUGUGUGACCCCUCUAAGAACUCUUCCCAUUGCCCUCUAUCAAUUGUGAUGGGUUUUGGCCACAUAAGUCCACCCCAAGAGCAGAUUUGACCAAAAUAGGGCAGGUUCUGGAACUGGGUGAACUGCCCAGAAGAGGGUGGUGUGACUCCUCGAAGAACUCUUUCCAGUGCCCUCUGCCAAUCAGCGCACAGAACCAUCAACCCAUAAGUUCCAGUGUCAGGCAGAAGAGGCCGUCUGUUACCACGAACGUGUGUUUUAGAAAUCGCGGAAACAUGGACUCCUUCACCACCCCUAUGAGAACUUCGGACUUUGUUUUAGCCCCGAGAGUCUUCGACCAUACCACGGAGAAAGUGCUACAUCAGCGACAGUUCCGAGGAGGAGGUGGGAGCGACUGAGGAUACGCUGUUGAUGGAUACGCCGGGACCCAAACCGAAACCCAACUGCUUGUGAGACACCCCGCCGGAGGAGGAAGGUGAGGUGAACGGAAAAGACUUUGCACAGCUUUCUAGAGGCCCUGGACAGCAUUGCAUCAAGCAGCAAAGCUGAACUGGGCCCACCUUGUUUUUGCUCAACGCCGAUACAAAUUGUUGAAGAGGACUCCGAGGAUGACAGCUAUGAGUUUAAGAUGAGGCGUGGCAUGGAGCUAUCUGAGCCAGUGCCACGUUGUGAGCGUAAAAAAGUCAUGUGGACUAUUGUACAGGCUGCUGUUUAUGCUGUCCUUAAACACUGCCUUAGGGAAAAGCUUUUGAAAAUUGUGAGGGCUGUGUCAUAGAUGCGCCAGCCCAAUGGCACCAUGACUGUGUGACUUGGACUUCAGUGGAUAUAGACUGCAAGCUCCGGGCCUGUGUGCUGAGCUGUGUUUGGAAAGCUUAUGAAACACUGUUAUUGCCAUAGGUUAUGCUAUGCAAUGUCUGUGUCUGCCCCAAGAACAUUUAGCGCAAGGAGUGACCUUGUUAAAUGCUGUGCAAUUCAGUGGAGACCCUGACCGUGUUUUAAAGAAAAUGACCAAACUGGAAGAUGCCUGCUUACAGCAUUAUAUUGACCGUCUAGUCUGCACAAAAAGUACAGAACCCCACUUAAGAAAAAGACUAUUUGUAAGAAAUCUAAAAGGAUUAAGUUAGAGAAUGGUGAGGGUAACUGUAAAAAUUUUUUUUUUUAAAACAUUGAAAAGGACUUUGUGACUAUCCGUGUUUCUAUUAGAACGUCUCUGGCCCUUAAGUGAGCUAAAAGUUUUAAUGAAGCAUCUUAGUUUGUUUUCAAGGAGCUGUAUGUCUUAAUAAAAAAUAAAUAGUUUGUGAAAAUGUA